GUGCCAGCAGCCGCGGUAAGACGUUGAUCCCGGAAGCGUUACUGGUCAUGAUUAGGCGUAAAGAGUGGCUAGACGGCCGACGUAGUUAUUGGUUAAAACGGGAGGUUUGAUCAUGCUGCCAAUAAUACCGUUGUGCUUGGGGUGCGGUUGAGUUUUUCGGCACAUACACCUUAGCGAUAAAAUGCGAACAGGGUGUCACGGACAUUCCAGUGGCCUCGGCAGAUUACAGCCGCAUAUGCCGACGUCGAACCACUAUCGUAUGGAUUCCGAAGAGGAUUAGGGACCCUUAAGCCCAUACUGUGAAUUUAUGAACAUUGAUCGACAGUAUUAAAAUGUCGAUUCAGCUAACGCGGAAAUGUUUCGCCUGGGUACUACGGUCGCAAGACUAAAAGCUAAUUAAAUUGGCGGGAGCCUGUAUAAAUAAUGGGGCACGUGGCUUAAUUCGACAAUACACGUAAAACCUUACCAGUGAAAGGCGGGUAUCGGCACCGAUGUGCGAUCGGUGUGUGGGUGCCGCCUCUAUUACAGUGCUGCAUGGCUGUCGAAAAUUCAUGCCGUGAGGUUUUGCGUUUGGUCGCAGAAUGAAUGCAAUCUAUGGUAUGUGUGUGUUCAAUUCGUUUGACGGAUUUAUCGCACGUUUUGCGCAAUUUCACAUACUGGGGGGGAUUUGCACGGCCGCUUUCGGUGCAACCCCCCGAGGUCUAGGGCACGUCAAGUCAACAUGGUCUCUAUGUGCUGGGCUGCACAUGUGCCACAAUGGUGAAGACAAUAUGAGGCAAUGGUUUGAUCCAAAGCAAUCAAAGAAAAAUCACCACAGUUCGGAUUGUAUGCUGCAACUCGUAUACAUCAAGUUGUAAUUAUUAGUAAUCGCGGGUAGAGUGCCGCGGUGAAUUUUAUUCUGGCUUUGCACACACCGCCCAUCACGCUGGCGGAGAUGGUGGUAUAUGACGUCUUGUGUCUGUACACUCACGAUGGUCCAUCGGGUUUACAACCUCGGCCAGUAUGACAUUGUUAACAUCAGCUAAGUUGACACAAGGUACCGGUAGGGGAAA
rnacentral:rRNA from 1 species